rnacentral:lncRNA from 1 species
AUAUUUCGGGGCAACCAAGCUUCCAGAGCAACAAUACAACCUUUGAUGAAAAUCUGAUCAUCCCAGUGACUCUUGCUCUUUUUUCUGACAUCAUAGCCACACUGUGUAUUCACAACUUUUUGAGCAGGAUCGGGUACACAACAGGAGAAUGGAACACCACAUUUCUCACGACUUUUGCUUUCACUGCUGCAGUUAAAGUAUAUGUUGAAAUCCCAGUCAUCGGGACCUUGUGCACCACAGCAAUGGUUAAUUUUCUGUAGUGAAUCAAUGAGGUUCUGGAGGUCAAUAUCAUCUCGGUAGGACUUAAUGUUAUUCUCAAAGAACUCCUUGACUUUGUCCCUCACCCAGUCCUGGAACAAGACAGCCAGAACUGCCACUGCCACCUCCAACAGAAAUAUGAGCACAAUUGUUCCACAGAAAAACUUCAGAAGGCAGAUGUUUUCUCUCAGAGCUCCCACACAACCAGCAAAUCCCAAAGUAAACAUCACGAUGCCCACGACUAAGACAAGCACGACUGGAUCAAGACCAUGAAGACCAGUCACCUUUGUCAGGUCAGAUAACACGCCCUUUUCACUCCAUGCCCACAGUCCA